AGUCAGCUUUCUUCCCCGUAGCUUGUACACUUUCUUUGAAAAUCGAUCUAUUUGAAGAAAAACAGCCCUGUUUUUCUCGUCUUUGGUGUUGGGGGUUGGGGGGAGCUGGUGGGUGAGGGAAAGGAAGACCUUUUCUUUGUGUAGAGAGACUAAAGCCGUCACAGGAAACUAGAUUAAAACUGGAAAACAAGUCCUAGCUGGUUCCAGCAAACACCAACGUUAAGUGGGGGGUAUUUUCUAUGGUGGUUGGGCGGCUGGUGCGUCUUGUGCCUUUUGUUUGAUUUGACUGUAUUUUCGCCUUUUGUCUCUUAAUGACGAUCACACCAUUGCUAUAUCCAGAGCAGUAAACAGUCCUCAGCGAAGCCGCCUUUUUGCCUACCCAACCCUGGAAAGUUUGCAGAAGUGGAAGGAGCAGAACGUGAGGGUGUAACUUACAAAAAGGUUCUGGGCCGGAGAAGGGGCGACGUUCGGGCACCCCCCGAAUGGACAAUCUUUCCUUCUGUCAACGGCAGGGGCAGGCCUAGUUUGACUCUGACAGUCCUCCCACUAAGGAAUUCCUGGUGACUGGAAGGGGGAGUGACUCAGGCCCUCAACCUCUAGCAGAGUGCCUUGGCUCCCUCCUGUCGUCCUGGGGAACCUCGGCCCCAGCCCUGCCUCCCCAGCCAGUCACAGCUCCUCCCUGGUCACCCUGAGGGAGCUCAGGGCCCGGCUGGUAGCUGGGUUGCUCUGCUUCUGUCCCCCACUCCUGUGGAGCCUGGCAGGCAACUCCAUGAUCUGACCCCGGUUACCUUGACAGCCCUGCCUGGCCUCCCCUCUCAUGGCCCAGCCACCCCAGAACCUGAAGAGGUUUUCUAGCUGCCGUGCAUUUGCCAGGCUGGGUUACCCACCCUACUUUCCCUGCCUGCCCUCCAGUGCUGCCAGGCCUAGUGUGCCAGCCAGCGCUCAGCCUUCAGUAAAGGGUUCCCCUGCUUCCAACCUCCAUUGCACUGCUUCCCCUAAGACUGUGACCUCCUGGAAGGCUGGAGCACAACUGCCUCUCAAUAAACGUGUUGCAAAAA
rnacentral:lncRNA from 1 species